rnacentral:rRNA from 1 species
GACGAACGCUGGCGGCGUGCUUAACACAUGCAAGUCGAACGGAAAGGCCCUGCUUUUGUGGGGUGCUCGAGUGGCGAACGGGUGAGUAACACGUGAGUAACCUGCCCUUGACUUUGGGAUAACUUCAGGAAACUGGGGCUAAUACCGGAUAGGAGCUCCUGCUGCAUGGUGGGGGUUGGAAAGUUUCGGCGGGUGGGGAUGGACUCGCGGCUUAUCAGCUUGUGGGUGGGGUAGUGGCUUACCAAGGCUUUGACGGGUAGCCGGCCUGAGAGGGUGACCGGCCACAUUGGGACUGAGAUACGGCGCAGACUCCUACGGGAGGCAGCAGUGGGGAAUAUUGCACAAUGGGCGGAAGCCUGAUGCAGCAACGCCGCGUGCGGGAUGACGGCCUUCGGGUUGUAAACCGCUUUCGCCUGUGACGAAGCGUGAGUGACGGUAAUGGAUAAAGAAGCACCGGCUAACUACGUG